rnacentral:rRNA from 1 species
UACGUAGGGUGCAAGCGUUAAUCGGAAUUACUGGGCGUAAAGCGUGCGCAGGCGGUUUGUUAAGCCAGAUGUGAAAGCCCCGGGCUCAACCUGGGAACUGCGUUUGGUACUGGCAAGCUAGAGUACGGCAGAGGGGGGUGGAAUUCCACGUGUAGCAGUGAAAUGCGUAGAGAUGUGGAGGAACACCGAUGGCGAAGGCAGCCCCCUGGGCCGAUACUGACGCUCAGGCACGAAAGCGUGGGGAGCAAACAGG